GAAUUUCAUCAUCGAUCAUCGGUUGCACCCAUUUUUUAUAAUACAAUAUAUACUAAAAACUAUGAAACAGUAUUAUACUCACUUAUAUUUGGUGUAAGUUAGAUUUAUUGUCUCCAAGCUGUAAAGUAACCAAAAAACCACACACAAAUAAAAUGAAGAGUCAUUUCAGCAAUGUUUGCCAAUUUUAUUGAGCCGAGCGCUUAGUCUUUUGCUGCACAACGACUGACUUUCGCUUAUAAUUCAUCAUCGGGACAUCACUAAUAUAUAUUUACCUGACUAUCAUUUAAAAAUUACAUAAUAAUGUGCAGUAUUGUGACUGUAUUGUAUUUGGACAAUGUAAUAUAUGAAAUAUUUUGUUUUAAGGAUCAUGCUUACUCAUGUUCGCCAAGAAAAUGGAAAAGAAAGUUGCAUGAAACGGAGGAGAAACUAGACACCAUCACAAAGAAGCUGAAGAACACUGCCCGUCGAGAGAAGAGAUGAAAAGAAACUUGUAGACAUCAGUUGGCAGAGCUGUAUGAAAAAUACCUCAUAAAUAUGGAGUUAAGAUCAAAGCUGGAAUCCUUUGGAGAUAUUCCUUGGAAAUUAUUUAAAAAACCUUCUAAAGAAUACACACACGAUCAAAGGGAUUUUGCCAUCACGUUACACCUGCAAUCUCCCAAGGCGUAUGAGUAUUUGAGGAGUACACUGGAUUUGCCGCUGCCACACCCUAGAACUCUCAGAAAGUGGAUGGAAUGCAUUGAUAAUAAAUAGAGAACAUCGUACUAUACGGCGCUCCCGCAUAAUAGAUGGUCCCUUGUACCAGCGCGCAUGCGCGAUCGGAACCCGAACCA